GAUGAACGCUGGCGGCGUGCCUAAUACAUGCAAGUCGAGCGAACAGACGAGGAGCUUGCUCCUCUGACGUUAGCGGCGGACGGGUGAGUAACACGUGGAUAACCUACCUAGAAGACUGGGAUAACUGCGGGAAACCGGAGCUAAUACCGGAUAAUAUAUGGAACCGCAUGGUUCAAUAGUGAAAGACGGUUUUGCUGUGGCUUAUAGAUGGAUCCGCGCCGCAUUAGCUAGUUGGUAAGGUAACGGCUUACCAAGGCAACGAUGCGUAGCCGACCUGAGCGGGUGAUCGGCCACCCUGGAGCUGAGACACGGUCCAGACGCCUACGGGAGGCAGCAGUAGGGAAUCUUCCGCAAUGGGCGAGAGCAUGACGGAGCAACGCCGCGUGAGUGGUGAAGGUCUUCGGUUCGUAAAACUCUGUUAUUAGGGAAGAACAAAUGUGUACGUAACUAUGCACGUCUUGACGGUACCUGAUCAGAAAGCCACGGCUAACUACGUG
rnacentral:rRNA from 1 species